CCAAACCCAAAAACUGUUCGGGUGGCAAAACAACACCCACGCCCACACCCAUUCGGUUCGGGUUUUUUCCACCCAAACCCAAACCCACAACACAUUUAAAAAUAAUUUGCAAAUUUAAGAAAUUAAAUUCCAACAUAGAUUUUGAAUUAAAUUACAACUAAAAUUAAGGUCUUCCAAAGAAAUUCAAACAUAGACUUUCAAGAAAUUACAACAUAUACUUUCAAGAAAUUAAAUUACAACCAAAAUUUAAGGUCUUCCAAGGAAAUUGAGGGAGACUAUGGGGGUAAUUAGGUAAUUAUAAAAUAUUUCGGGUGGGUGUAUGGGUUUCGGGUGUGGGUUUGACUGAUACCAAACCCACACCCAUAU
rnacentral:lncRNA from 1 species